rnacentral:rRNA from 1 species
CAGCCGCCGCGGGAAUACGUAGGGUGCAAGCGUUAAUCGGAAUUACUGGGCGUAAAGCGUGCGCAGGCGGUUAUAUAAGACAGAUGUGAAAUCCCCGGGCUCAACCUGGGAACUGCAUUUGUGACUGUAUAGCUAGAGUACGGCAGAGGGGGAUGGAAUUCCGCGUGUAGCAGUGAAAUGCGUAGAUAUGCGGAGGAACACCGAUGGCGAAGGCAAUCCCCUGGGCCUGUACUGACGCUCAUGCACGAAAGCGUGGGGAGCAAACAGGAUUAGAUACCCCAGUAGUCCUGUCUCUUAUACC